rnacentral:lncRNA from 1 species
AAGACUAGACGUUCACCAUGACUUUCUAUAAUUCCCCUCCCUCCUCUUUUUUGCCCCUGCUCUUCCUUUCUUCCUUCCUUUCCAUUGAUGCUUAGAUAGUGUUACCAAAGCAAAAAGUAGUAGCUAUAAUUACCCUCAAUGCUAUAGCACCUCUCCCUCUUGGUGUUAUAUAUUUCUUUGUUUAUUUAUUAUGUUUCCCUUUCCCCAAUUAGCAUGUAAGCUUAGUGAACACAGAAACUUUGUCUAUUUUGAUGUCA